UACGGAGGGUGCAAGCGUUAUCCGGGUUCACUGGGUUUAAAGGGUGCGUAGGUGGGUCUGUAAGUCCGUGGUGAAAUCUCCGAGCUUAACUUGGAAACUGCCAUGGAUACUAUAGGUCUUGAAUACUGUGGAGGUCAGCGGAAUAUGUCAUGUAGCGGUGAAAUGCUUAGAUAUGACAUAGAACACCAAUUGCGAAGGCAGCUGGCUACACAAAUAUUGACACUGAGGCACGAAAGCGUGGGGAUCAAACAGG
rnacentral:rRNA from 1 species